rnacentral:misc_RNA from 1 species
UCGUAACAAGGUUUCCGUAGGUGAACCUGCGGAAGGAUCAUUACCGAGUGCAGGUCUGCCCCCGGGCAGGCCUAACCUCCCACCCGUGAAUACCUGACCAACGUUGCUUCGGCGGUGCGCCCCCCCCGGGGGUAGCCGCCGGAGACCACACCGAACCUCCUGUCUUUAGUGUUGUCUGAGCUUGAUAGCAAACCUAUUAAAACUUUCAACAAUGGAUCUCUUGGUUCCGGCAUCGAUGAAGAACGCAGCGAACUGCGAUAAGUAAUGUGAAUUGCAGAAUUCAGUGAAUCAUCGAGUCUUUGAACGCACAUUGCGCCCCCUGGCAUUCCGGGGGGCAUGCCUGUCCGAGCGUCAUUGCUGCCCUUCAAGCCCGGCUUGUGUGUUGGGUCGUCGUCCCCCCCGGGGGACGGGCCCGAAAGGCAGCGGCGGCACCGCGUCCGGUCCUCGAGCGUAUGGGGCUUUGUCACCCGCUCGAUUAGGGCCGGCCGGGCGCCAGCCGGCGUCUCCAACCUUCUAUUUUACCAGGUUGACCUCGGAUCAGGUAGGGAUACCCGCUGAACUUAAGCAUAUCAAUAA